UCCCCUGUGGUGUAAUCGGCAGCACAGCGGUUUUUGGUGCCGCUUGUCCAGGUUCGAGUCCUGGCGGGGGAG
rnacentral:tRNA from 1 species